AAACACAGGUGGUAUAUAUGUGUUUUAUGUCACGUAAUUACAGGUGGUAUAUCUUUGUUUUAUGUUAUGUGUUAAAAACAGACAAGACAUGUUCAAUAUCAAAACUACAGAUGAAGCUGGAAAAUUAUUAAAAAAAAUCAUUAUGGUUGUUGCUUCCCUUUGAAGUAUAUGAUGUUUCUGUGUAGAAUGUUCUCUUUUAUUUCAGGUUGCUGUUUAUAAUGUAGGUAUACUAAUGACAUUGAACAUUUUACUAUGAAAACAUCAUGUUUUUCAGUGUGAAGCAACACCAUAGUGUUACUGAUGAUACAGUUGCAACUGCAAAAUUGAUAAAUUGUUUUACAAAUCUGAAUUUUCUAAAUUUAUAUUUUAAUUGAGAUUAAACUAGUUCAGUAACUUUAAGUGGUCAUGAGUUUUAUAUGUGUGAAUUUUUUUUUAGUAAGUAUUGCAUACACAUAAAACCAAUGAUGAUUUUGAAGUACUGGACAGUUCUAUUGAUGGAACGACAUUCUGACCUCAUCUGUAGUUACUAUAUCUAAUCAGUUUCAUGUUCUCUUUCAGCUCAGUAUUUACCAUGUAUGAUUUUAUCCUGGUUUACACCCAGGGGAGUUCUAGUUUUUUUUUUCAGAAAGACUGUGAAAUGGCUAGAACAGAAGUUUGGGCAUGGUAGAAAGAUUCGACCAUUGUUUGUGAAAUGGCCAGAACAGAUGUUUGGGCAUGGUAGAAAGAUUUGACCAUUGUUUGCACAGUAUCCAGACAGUGAAUGAACAUUGAGAAGUUAAAAAGAGAAAACACUACUAACAUUGCUUAGAAAGAACAUGGAUCUUAAAAUAUCUUGGACGUUAUAUUUUUCCAAAUAAUUCUACAGAUAUAUUAUGCUAGGUCAUGAACUUGCAGUACAGCCAGAAAAAUAUAUCGCUGACAAAGGAUUUGUAAAUAAGAAAGGGUUAACCUUUGCAUCACAUUAAUCAGGAAACAAAGAGGACAGAUAUUAAAAAUAGUCAUGAGAGGAAGUAAAGUCGCCAAAAAUUGGAAGAAAAGCAGAUUGCUGUUUUUCAGGAUAAUCCAAAUGUUAUACCCAGUCAUGAGCAUGUCUUCAAACGUCAUAUGUUAAUUUAAGAGCACAUGUUGAAAACAUAGAUCAAUUACCAACAGAACAUAUUUUUGGGAUAAAAAUGAAAAUUACAAAAAGGCCAACAUUGUUAUGGCAUAGGGAUUAUAAUAACCUGAUCUCUGUGAUUGUUUUUUUUUAAUUUGAAGGUCUAUUUGAAAGCAUUAUUUAAAUAGGUUCAUUCAAACACAAAUCUAUCAUUGAAAUAAAAUUGAGAAUGGAAAUGGGGAAUGUGUCAAAGAAACAACAACCUUACCAUAGAAUAGACAACAGCAGAAGGUCACCAACAGGUCUUCAAUAAAAGUCAUAUUGUUGAGGAUAGGCAUUUUUUAAAUCAAAAUCCUGGGAAGUUUCUGUGAAAUCACUAAGGAUGACAGACAACCCCAAAAUUCACCAAGAAAAAAACAUUGGACUCAACCAUUUGACCCCUUAUGUAUAAGUUCUGUAAAAUUACAAAUAUAUUGAACUCGUAUUAAUUAGACAACUGAAAUUUUUCCAUUUAAGUAUAUACUUGAAGCACAAAGGGACAUGAAAUUUAGACUCUUCAUAGUCAAAUACAUCUUUAAUUGUAAUACAGGCCAUUAGCAAUAAAGAACGAACAACCACUCAAAUGUUUUGAAUAAAUAGAAUCUGUAUAUUCACCACAUGCCUAUCAAAAAAUUAACCAACAAGCACUACUCGGGAACUGCUAGUUAUGAUUCAUAAUACAAUCAAAGACUUGACAUUUGAUCCUUUAUUAACUUCUAUUUCUUGAA